rnacentral:ribozyme from 1 species
ACAACGAUAGAAAUCUCAGGGGCAGCUUGUGAUGAGUUUAACAGAAAACCCAAUGAAUUCGAAUUUGUGUCCCCAGAUUUAGAAAAAUUAACAGUCAGAGUAAAACACAUGAA